rnacentral:rRNA from 1 species
GAUGAACGCUGGCGGCGUGCCUAAUACAUGCAAGUCGAGCGAACAGAUGAGGAGCUUGCUCCUCUGACGUUAGCGGCGGACGGGUGAGUAACACGUGGAUAACCUACCUAUAAGACUGGGAUAACUUCGGGAAACCGGAGCUAAUACCGGAUAAUAUAUUGAACCGCAUGGUUCAAUAGUGAAAGACGGUUUUGCUGUCACUUAUAGAUGGAUCCGCGCCGCAUUAGCUAGUUGGUAAGGUAACGGCUUACCAAGGCAACGAUGCGUAGCCGACCUGAGAGGGUGAUCGGCCACACUGGAACUGAGACACGGUCCAGACUCCUACGGGAGGCAGCAGUAGGGAAUCUUCCGCAAUGGGCGAAAGCCUGACGGAGCAACGCCGCGUGAGUGAUGAAGGUCUUCGGAUCGUAAAACUCGGUUAUGAGGGAAGAACAAAUGUGUAAGUAACUAUGCACGUCUUGACGGUACCUAAUCAGAAAGCCACGGCUAACUACGUG